UGGGGAUGACGUCAAGUCCUCAUGGCCCUUAUAGGUGGGGCUACACACGUCAUACAAUGGCUGGUACAAAGGGUUGCCAACCCGCAGGGGGAGCCAAUCCCAUAAAGCCAGUCGUAGUCCGGAUCGCAGUCUGCAACUCGACUGCGUGAAGUCGGAAUCGCUAGUAAUCGUGGAUCAGCAUGUCACGGUGAAUACGUUCCCGGGUCUU
rnacentral:rRNA from 1 species